rnacentral:rRNA from 1 species
GAUCAACGCUGGCGGCGCACAUAAGACAUGCAAGUUGAACGGACUUAAUCGAAAUAUUUAUAUUUUGAAGCGGUUAGUGGCGGACUGGUGAGUAACGCGUAAGGAACCUGCCUAUUAGAGGGGAAUAACAGUGAGAAAUCAUUGCUAAUACCGCAUAUGCCAUAGAUAUCACAUGAUAACAGUGGGAAAGGAGCAAUCCGCUAAUAGAUGGCCUUGCGUCUGAUUAGAUAGUUGGUGGGGUAACGGCCUACCAAGUCGACGAUCAGUAGCCGGACUGAGAGGUUGACCGGCCACAUUGGGACUGAGAUACGGCCCAGACUCCUACGGGAGGCAGCAGUCGGGAAUAUUGCGCAAUGGAGGAAACUCUGACGCAGUGACGCCGCGUAUAGGAAGAAGGUUUUCGGAUUGUAAACUAUUGUCGUUAGGGAAGAGAAAGGACAGUACCUAAGGAGGAAGCUCCGGCUAACUACGUG